CACGUAGGGUGCAAGCGUUGUCCGGAAUCAUUGGGCGUAAAGAGCUCGUAGGCGGCUUAGUAAGUCGGGUGUGAAAACUCUAGCUCACCAUCAGAGACGACCGCACCCGAUACUGCUAUAGCUAGAAUCCAGUAGGGGAGUGUGGAAUUCCCAGUGUAGCGGUGAAAUGCGCAGAUAUUGGGAGGAACACCAGUCGGCGAAGGCG
rnacentral:rRNA from 1 species